GCGGACUUCGGUCCGUGGCAGAGCCGCGAACGGGUGAGUAACACGUGGGUAACCUACCCCGAUGACCGGGACAACCCGAGGAAACUCGGGCUAAUACCGGAUGUUCUGCACUCUCGUAAGGGAGUUCAGCAAAGAUAGCUUCGGCCUUCGCAUCGGGACGGGCCCGCGGCCCAUUAGCUUGUUGGUGAGGUAACGGCUCACCAAGGCUACGAUGGGUAGCUGGUCUGAGAGGACGAUCAGCCACACUGGGACUGAGACACGGCCCAGACUCCUACGGGAGGCAGCAGUGGGGAAUCUUGCGCAAUGGGCGAAAGCCUGACGCAGCAACGCCGCGUGGGGGAAGAAGGCCUUCGGGUUGUAAACCCCUUUCAGUUGGGACGAAGCUUCCAGGGUUAAUAGCCCUGUGGAGUGACGGUACCUUCAGAAGAAGCCCCGGCUAACUACGUGCCAGCAGCCGCGGUAAUACGUAGGGGGCAAGCGUUGUCCGGAAUCAUUGGGCGUAAAGCGCGUGUAGGCGGUCCGGUAAGUCCGCUGUGAAAGUCGGGGGCUCAACCCUCGGAUGCCGGUGGAUACUGUCGGGCUUGAGUACGGAAGAGGCGAGUGGAAUUCCUGGUGUAGCGGUGAAAUGCGCAGAUAUCAGGAGGAACACCAAUUGCGAAGGCAGCUCGCUGGGACGUUACUGACGCUGAGACGCG
rnacentral:rRNA from 1 species